GGUGAGAUGGCCGAGCGGUCUAAGGCGGCAGCUUCAGGUUCUCUAGAGUACCUGCUGUUCAGGAAACUGGCGCGAGUUCGAAUCUCGCUCUCAUCA
rnacentral:tRNA from 1 species